GGUGAGAUGGCCGAGUUGGUCUAUGGCGCUAGGUUAAGGUCUCAAUCUUAACAAAGAUUUCCUAGUGGAGAAAUCCGCGUGGGUUCGAAUCCCACUCUCAUCA